rnacentral:rRNA from 1 species
AGCCUGAACGCUGGCGGCGUGGCUAAGACAUGCAAGUCGAACGGACGUAGCAAUACGUCAGUGGCGGACGGGUGAGUAAUGAAUCGCUAACGUACCCCGGAGCCAGGGAUAGCUGCCCGAAAGGGCAGGUAAUACCUGAUGAGACCACAAGCAGGCAUCUGCUGGUGCUCAAAGCCGCAAGGCAC